rnacentral:rRNA from 1 species
AACUUUUAACAACGGAUCUCUUGGUUCUCGCAUCGAUGAAGAACGUAGCAAAGUGCGAUAACUAGUGUGAAUUGCAUAUUCAGUGAAUCAUCGAGUCUUUGAACGCAACUUGCGCUCUUUGGUAUUCCAAGGAGCACGCCUGUUUCAGUA